GGCCAGUUAGCUCAACUGGUUAGAGCAUGGUGCUGAUAACACCAAGGUCAUGGGUUUAAUCCCUGUACAGGCCA
rnacentral:tRNA from 2 species